UGGGGAAUAUUGGACAAUGGGCGAAAGCCUGAUCCAGCAAUGCCGCGUGAGUGAUGAAGGCCUUAGGGUUGUAAAGCUCUUUUACCCGGGAUGAUAAUGACAGUACCGGGAGAAUAAGCUCCGGCUAACUCCGUGC
rnacentral:rRNA from 1 species